rnacentral:rRNA from 1 species
AGUGAACGCUGGCGGUAGGCCUAACGCAUGCAAGUCGAACGGCAGCACAGUAAGAGCUUGCUCUUACGGGUGGCGAGUGGCGGACGGGUGAGGAAUACAUCGGAAUCUACUUUUUCGUGGGGGAUAACGUAGGGAAACUUACGCUAAUACCGCAUAUGACCUACGGGUGAAAGCAGGGGAUCUUCGGACCUUGCGCGAUUGAAUGAGCCGAUGUCGGAUUAGCUAGUUGGCGGGGUAAAGGCCCACCAAGGCGACGAUCCGUAGCUGGUCUGAGAGGAUGAUCAGCCACACUGGAACUGAGACACGGUCCAGACUCCUACGGGAGGCAGCAGUGGGGAAUAUUGGACAAUGGGCGCAAGCCUGAUCCAGCCAUACCGCGUGGGUGAAGAAGGCCUUCGGGUUGUAAAGCCCUUUUGUUGGGAAAGAAAAGCAGCAGGUUAAUACCCCGCUGUUCUGACGGUACCCAAAGAAUAAGCACCGGCUAACUUCGUG